UACGUAGGUGGCAAGCGUUGUCCGGAUUUAUUGGGCGUAAAGCGCGCGCAGGUGGUGCGGUAAGUCUGCCGUGAAAUCUCCCGGCUCAACUGGGAGGGGGCGGUGGAGACUGCCGGACUGGAGGGACUCAGAGGCCGGUGGAAUUCCCGGUGUAGUGGUGAAAUGCGUAGAGAAGUCGGGAGGAACACCAGUGGCGAAGGCGGCCGGCUGGGGGUGCCCUGACGCUGAGGCGGC
rnacentral:rRNA from 1 species